rnacentral:rRNA from 1 species
GGCUAGCGUUGCUCGGAAUCACUGGGCGUAAAGCGCACGUAGGCGGAUUGUUAAGUCAGGGGUGAAAUCCUGGAGCUCAACUCCAGAACUGCCUUUGAUACUGAAGAUCUUGAGUCCGGGAGAGGUGAGUGGAACUGCGAGUGUAGAGGUGAAAUUCGUAGAUAUUCGCAAGAACACCAGUGGCGAAGGCGGCUCACUGGCCCGGUACUGACGCUGAGGCACGAAAGCGUGGGGAGCAAACAGG